rnacentral:lncRNA from 1 species
AGGGAUUGGAACUGCUGCAAAAGAUUAAUGGGCGCCCGGGGCAGAAGAUUAGUGAGAUUUCAGCAGCCUGAGUAUUUGCUGAGUUCCUGACAGAGAGCAGGAAGAACUUCCGGCUUGCGAAGCUGUCACUGACGCCAUAUCCUGUGUCCCUUUAAGGAAGGCAUUCCAGUCUGUGACCCUCGCCUGAAGCAGAAUAUACACAGUGAAAAGAAGGCCUCUUCAGAGCCCUAUCCAGGACAUCAAUAAAUCAAUUUCAAGCUGACCAAGAGACUUUCUGCUGGAAGGUGCAACACAGGCUGGUGGGAGGGAGAAAAAAAGAUCAGCAGCCUUGCCCUGUGAGAACCAUGUUUGGUACAACAAAGACCUGCUAGGCAAUCAGUUCACGGUUCUCUGCCUAGAGCUUACAAAAGAGGAGCUGAACAACAUAUCAUAGAAGGCAUAACUCACUGGAGGGCUGUCAUAGCAUACCGGACAAUAAGAUCUGCAUGCUUUUCUGAAACUUGUGGAGGGAAAAGCACCAAAGAACUUCGUGGUAUUUUGGCUGCUCCUUGCCACUUCAGUGGAUGCGCACCAAUUCAGUGGAGCCUUGUGGUUUCUGCUGGAUUGAACUGCUGCUACUGAUUCAUGUUCGGUGUUUGCCAAUUGGACUGGACUGCCACUACUGAUUCAUGGGAAGAACUACUUCUAAGCAGAGAUUGGAGCCUUGACAAGACUGAACUGAAAGACUGCAUGGAAAGUUUCCCCACUGUGGUUGUCAAGCAUAUGAACACAGAAGCUAGUAGGGCCCAUUCUCAUCACACUGCAAGGAUGGACAUGGCUUCAUUGAGAGAAAAGCUGAAGCAAGGACAGUACCCGAGGCUACCAGGAGAGCUCACUGCCCCAAAUUAACAAGUCCUGACAAGAUCACUUGCACAGACAUAGCAGAAUACCCUCAUGCCUUUUUUUUCCUGAUUGGCUUCUUGGUAUUGAGUUAUGUAACAUUAAUGACAUUUUCUAAGGUUCCUACAUGCUGAGCACUCCAUAGCUUUGUGUCAGGGGAAGGAUUUGGUAUAGUGUUAGGAGGUGAUGGGAUAGUUUCUAAGAGAAGUGACUUAAAGAGAAGUUGG